GCGACGGGUGAGUACACGUGGGCAAUCUGCCCUGCACUCUGGGACAAGCCCUGGAAACGGGGUCUAAUACCGGAUAAUACUCCUGCACUCAUGUGUGGGGGUUAAAAGCUCCGGCGGUGCAGGAUGAGCCCGCGGCCUAUCAGCUUGUUGGUGAGGUAAUGGCUCACCAAGGCGACGACGGGUAGCCGGCCUGAGAGGGCGACCGGCCACACUGGGACUGAGACACGGCCCAGACUCCUACGGGAGGCAGCAGUGGGGAAUAUUGCACAAUGGGCGGAAGCCUGAUGCAGCGACGCCGCGUGAGGGAUGACGGCCUUCGGGUUGUAAACCUCUUUCAGCAGGGAAGAAGCGCAAGUGACGGUACCUGCAGAAGAAGCGCCGGCUAACUACGUGCCAGCAGCCGGGGGAUAAUACG
rnacentral:rRNA from 1 species